CAAGUCUGUUUAGAUCAUAGCACCGGGAUAUUAAUAAAAGCAAAAAAACAAAACCGACGAACGUCCGAGAAGCAACUACCGGCGACUGAAAAACUAAACCAUAAAAACUAUUCAGUAACUUUCAAAAAAAAGAAAAGAAACACACACACACACACACACACAAACUGCCCCAGUUUUCUCAAAAGAUAUUUGCAGAUGAGAUCAAACAUUGUCUCUGAGGCAGGGUUGCAAACAAGAGUUAAGCAAUGGUGGGAAGGCAUACCAUUUCUUACUUCUGUGGUGGUUGCAGUUUGUGCGUCAAUAUACUUGGUUUGCCUUUUUGUUGGAUAUGACUCUUUUGCGGAAGUAUGUUUCUUGCCAUCUUCCGUUGUUUCAAAGUUUCAAGUUUACAGGGUUUUCACAUCUAUAUUCUUCCACGGUUCAAUACUUCAUCUUGUAUUCAAUAUGUUGGCUCUGGUUCCUUUAGGAUCAGAAUUGGAAAGAGUUAUGGGCUCAAUUCGCUUGUUAUUUGUGAUUGUUCUGUUGGCUACCAGCAGUGCUGUUUUCCAUCUCCUGAUUACGUUAAUCGCUGCUUACAAUCCGGUUUACUCGUAUGAAUAUUUCAUGUACGAGUGUGCUAUUGGCUUCUCUGGUGUUCUAUUCUCUAUGAUUGUUAUAGAGACGAGCUUAAGUGGAGUCCAAUCUAGAAGUGUGUUUGGACUUUUUAACGUGCCUGCUAAGCUGUAUCCAUGGAUAUUACUGUUAGUUUUCCAGCUUCUUAUGACAAACAUCUCGUUGCUUGGACACUUAUGUGGGAUUUUAUCUGGAUUUGCAUAUACUUAUGGCUUAUUCAACUUUAUAAUCCCGGGAAGCUCUUUCUAUUCAGGCAUAGAAGCAUCUCCUUGGCUUGCAAGUUGUGUGCGUAGGCCAAAAUAUAUAAUGUGCACAGGUGGGGAACCCUCUGGAUACAUCCCUACAUAUUCUACUCGUAAUGCAACAUCUGGUGAAACACUUGCUGGAAAUAUGUGGACAAAUUUGUCUUCUUGGAUGCCACGGAGAGAGGUCCCUUCCCAGUCUACAGAAGAGAAUAGCAGGUUUCCUGGACGUGGAAGGACACUUGGUGCAACUCAAACGGAAGCAGUCUCUGCUAAUAAUUCUGAUUCGAGUCUACAGGCUAGACUGUUAGAAAGUGGCAAUAGCCCAGUACACCCUUCAAGCCAGGAAGCAAUAGGGACUGAACAGCAGAGAAACGAUAGGAGGUAUUACAAUGCAGCCAGGGGUAAAUACCACAGUAGCAGCAACUCUAGGUGUUCCAGCCAAUCAGUUAACGGUUCCAUCAGAUGCUGAGAUUCAAAAGCUUUUAGCAAUGGGUUUUGAUAAGACACAGGUGGAAGUUGCACUAGCAGCUGCUGAUGGUGAUCUGAAUGUAGCUGUUGAAAUACUAAUGACCCAACAGGCAUGAGUUGUACAAGCUGUUUGUUGAGUUUGCUGAUAGAAAUAGCCUAGGAAGGCCCAUGCUUGGGGUUAUCUCCCGCUUUGAUCUUUCCAAUUGUACCUUCUUUCAAAUCUCUAGUUUCUUGUUAGAAAACUGCAAUUAUAUGUUAACGAAAAAAUGGAAAGUUCUUGUGUUGAUUAGGGCUCUCAAUAUGGUCAUUAGGAUUAUAUGCUACUUAUCAAAAAACGCACUUCUCAUGUACUUGAGUUUUUGUAUAUGAUUGAUGAAACUUUAAGAUUUCA